GAGGUUAUAUCUGUUCGAGUCGCCGUUUUAAUUCUAAGGCAUUGCCUUGUGUUGAUAUUCCUGAAUAAAGGUUUAUCAAAAUAUAUUGGCGUCAUUUUUGACGGGAAUUACAGCGAAAUGUAAUGAAAAUUAAAAAUGACCGCCUAUUUUCACUUCUAAAACAUGGCCUCGGAUCAGAUAGGGAUACCCGCUGAACUUAA
rnacentral:misc_RNA from 1 species